UACGUAUGGAGCAAGCGUUAUCCGGAUUUACCGGGCGUAAAGGGAGCGUAGGCGGCCUGCCAAGUCUGAUGUGAAAUACCGGGGCUCAACCCCGGGGCUGCAUUGGAAGCUGGCAGGCUGGAGUGCCGGAGAGGCAGGCGGAAUUCCUAGUGUAGCGGUGAAAUGCGUAGAUAUUAGGAGGAACACCAGUGGCGAAGGCGACUUUCUGGACCGUAACUGACGUUGAGGCACGAAAGUGUGGGGAGCAAACAGG
rnacentral:rRNA from 1 species